GCACACCUUCGACCUCCCUGUGCAGCAGGCGGUCCUUAGUCUGGACUGCAGAGGAAGGAGAAAAUGGACUCUCUUCUGCUAGAGACUUGAAUGCGAGCCACCAGCUGUGGGUGUCAGAGUUUACAGCCUAUUAGAGGAAGACAACUUUAAGUGUUGAACAGUGCCAUGAACAGACGGGGCCACAGAAUAAGCUCUACCUCCACGCCUUGCCUCUUUUGGAACAGUGCUCAAGAAUGCCACACUGCUUGCUGAACCACACCUGUUAACUGCAGAUUGAGAAGCCUUGGAGAGAAAAGAAGAUAAAGGCCAUUGUGGAAUUUAGGAUUGCGGGACAUCCUUUGACAUGACACUACAGCCAAGGAGGAUCAACCAGUGGAUGUGCAAACAGGAGCUGGAAGAAACCAUGGGCAAAGCCUGUCUGGUCUUCUGGGGGCUUGGAUGGAUAGAAGGAUAUAUGCAAAUGACCCUCCCUGGACCCCCCACUUGCACUAUAUAGUACUGAUGUGGCUGCAGCUCCUGUCCCAGGGUCCUCCCUUCAGGGAUACCCAUAUUUGUUGAUCAUCUGCCAUUUGCCUACCUGGUCCCUGCAGAGUAAAAAGAAGAAAAUAGCCUUCAGCAGUGGCUGACACAGGAGCCCACUCGAUACACAAUAAGGAGUCCAGGGACACAGGAUGAUGCGACUCCCUCCCCUAGGGGACUGGUGUUCCCUAAGCAUA